GACGAACGCUGGCGGCGUGCUUAACACAUGCAAGUCGAACGGAAAGGCCCUGCUUUUGUGGGGUGCUCGAGUGGCGAACGGGUGAGUAACACGUGAGUAACCUGCCCUUGACUUUGGGAUGACUUCAGGAAACUGGGGCUAAUACCGGAUCGGAGCUCCUGCUGCAUGGUGGGGGUUGGAACGUUUCGGCUGUUGGGGAUGGACUCGCGGCUUAUCAGCUUGUUGGUUGGGGAGUGGCAUACCAAGGCAUGGGCGGGUAACCGGCCUGGGAGGGUGGCCGGCCACAUUGCGACUGCGGUACGGCCCAGACUCCUACGGGAGGCAGCAGUGGGGAAUAUUGCACAAUGGGCCGAAGCCUGAUGCAGAGACGCCGCGUGCGGGAUGACGGCCUUCGGGUUGUAAACCGCUGUCGCCUGUGACGAAGCGUGAGUGACGGUAAUGGGUAAAGAAGCACCGGCUAACUACGUG
rnacentral:rRNA from 1 species